GCACAUCAGGGCCACCGAUCACCUAAUCAUGUCCGAAUUUGUCCUCAGCCAUCCGAUCAUGAUCAGCUACGAUCUGAGCCAUUAGAUUGCAUAGAAAACCACCUGAACUAUGCGUGGACCAUGACGUCGGUCCACGCAGUCCCAUGGACCAUGCAGCACCCUGCGGUUCACGGUGGAUCGUGCAGGGUGCUGGGUCACCUGCAUGCAUUGGGC
rnacentral:lncRNA from 1 species